UGCAGAUGUGUUAUCCCUGUCUUUCCUGCCUAAAGCAGAGCGCUUUACCCACAGCCCCACAGAAGAACAGCAUCUCUCCUCUGGAUAACAGAGGGUGCUAGGCACUAUUUUGAAAAUGUGUUGGCAGAAGGAAAUGCUUGUGGUAAACACUGACUUGUCCUUGAGAUAGCCUCUGGUGGAAAUGUGUCAUCUUUGCUGGAUCUUAGCCCGACUUUACGGGGCGUUGUCUUUGGUAUUGUUUGUUCCAGAGAGCAGAGGAGCAGAGCAGGCAGCACAGUGGAGGCAAGGGACGGCACAAGGAGCACGGUGACUCAGAGCUGGUGAAGGUGAAGAAGCACAUUCAGCUGAUUCUGGACCGGCUGCUGCACACGGUCAAUCGGAGAGUGAUCGUCCUGGACCGGGAGAACAACCUCAGAGUGAGUACCACCACGUCCUCCGUGCUGCGCCGGGCGUCGGGACUGCUCUGCUACCCACGGGUGGCUCUUACCGGAGGCAGGAGAUGUGAAAGGUUGUGCUGAUUUAAGUGUCUGGGAAGAGGUGACUAAUGUUGCUCCUCAGCUGGUAUUCCGGUCUCCAGCAGCAGCUGGUGUGGGAUGAUUUCUAGAUGUUUAACAUAGCAGGAUGCACAAGAAAGCCAGACAAGGGAGGGUGGGAACAUGCCAGAAGCAGGUUCUGCAAUGGGACGGUGCCUCGGGAUGAGCAGGCAGGCUGUGUGUGAUGCAGAAAGCACAUUUUGGAAGUAGGAGAUUGGACCUGAUGAACCUUCAUAAUUUUACAUGCUAAGAGCACGCGGGAGAAGCGCGCUGGGCACACUGGGACGUCCGUCUCUCGUCGAAGGGUUGGGGGGGUCAAAGCAGCGCUCGGCUGGAGCAUCACACCGACCUGCUGGGCUAGUGGCGAUCAUUUAAUCACGAAGGGUUUUGGAGGAAGUGGAGCCGCGCCUGCUCGGGCUCACACGUGCCCUGAUGCGCGUGACGGCGGUGGGGAACGGGCCGGGGAAGCCGCUCCGGGGCCACG
rnacentral:lncRNA from 1 species